rnacentral:rRNA from 1 species
UACGUAGGGUGCAAGCGUUAAUCGGAAUUACUGGGCGUAAAGCGUGCGCAGGCGGUUGUGCAAGACAGAUGUGAAAUCCCCGGGCUCAACCUGGGAAUUGCAUUUGUGACUGCACGGCUAGAGUGUGUCAGAGGGGGGUAGAAUUCCACGUGUAGCAGUGAAAUGCGUAGAGAUGCGGAGGAACACCGAUGGCGAAGGCAGCCCCCUGGGCCAACACUGACGCUCAGGCACGAAAGCGUGGGGAGCAAACAGG